rnacentral:SRP_RNA from 1 species
GUGGACCCCUCGUGUAGCAGCAUCCCGCUGAACCCCCCCAGGGCCGGAAGGCAGCAAGGGCAGGCGGGCUCUGAUGGGUGCACGAGGGGUCAUCCUU